AGAGUUUGAUCAUGGCUCAGAUUGAACGCUGGCGGCAUGCCUUACACAUGCAAGUCGAACGGCAGCACGGGGGCAACCCUGGUGGCGAGUGGCGAACGGGUGAGUAAUACAUCGGAACGUGUCCUGUAGUGGGGGAUAGCCCGGCGAAAGCCGGAUUAAUACCGCAUACGCUCUACGGAGGAAAGGGGGGGAUCUUAGGACCUCCCGCUACAGGGGCGGCCGAUGGCAGAUUAGCUAGUUGGUGGGGUAAAGGCCUACCAAGGCGACGAUCUGUAGCUGGUCUGAGAGGACGACCAGCCACACUGGGACUGAGACACGGCCCAGACUCCUACGGGAGGCAGCAGUGGGGAAUUUUGGACAAUGGGGGCAACCCUGAUCCAGCAAUGCCGCGUGUGUGAAGAAGGCCUUCGGGUUGUAAAGCACUUUUGUCCGAAAAGAAAACGCCGUAUUAAUACCCGGACGAAUGACGUACCG
rnacentral:rRNA from 1 species